UGGAAUAUUACAUCAUAGAGGGUGAGAAUCCCGUAUGUGACUGGCUGCCUCCGCCCGUGUAAAGCUCUUUCGACGAGUCGAGUUGUUUGGGAAUGCAGCUCAAAAUGGGUGGUAUAUUUCAUCUAAAGCUAAAUAUUGGCCAGAGACCGAUAGCGCACAAGUAGAGUGAUCGAAAGAUGAAAAGCACUUUGGAAAGAGAGUUAAACAGUACGUGAAAUUGUUGAAAGGGAAGCGCUUGCAACCAGACUUGCACGCAGUUGAUCAACCGGUGUUCUCACUUUUUUUACUCUGCUGCGUUCAGGCCAGCAUCGGUUUUGGUGGUUGGAUAAAGGCCUUGGGAAUGUGGCUUCCUUCGGGGAGUGUUAUAGCCCAAGGUGCAAUGCAGCCUACCGGGACCGAGGACCGCGCUUCGGCUAGGAUGCUGGCGUAAUGGUUGUAAGCGGCCCGUCUUGAAACACGGACCAAGGAGUCUAACAUCUAUGCGAGUGUUUGGGUGUCAAACCCAUACGCGUAAUGAAAGUGAACGGAGGUAAGAACCCUUUAGGGGGCAUUAUCGACCGGUCCUGAUGUCUUCGGAUGGAUCUGAGUAAGAGCAUAGCUGUUGGGACCCGAAA
rnacentral:rRNA from 1 species